rnacentral:rRNA from 1 species
AGCAGCCGCGGUAAUUCCAGCUCCAAUAGCGUAUAUUAAAGUUGUUGCAGUUAAAAAGCUCGUAGUUGAAUUUCGGGGUUAGUAGGUUGGUCAUGCCUCUGGUAUGUACUGGUCUCACUGAUUCCUCCUUCCUGAUGAACCGUAAUGCCAUUAAUUUGGUGUUAUAGGGAAUCAGGACUGUUACUUUGAAAAAAU